UUGUUUUUAGAUUAGUGCUUGUCUUUAAAGAAUCAUGGCAGGAGGGCAGUAUGAGAAUAUCAACUUCAGUUAGCUACCACUUAAAAGUUUCUAAAAUCAAGGACAACUCUCAUAGCUAGGUUUUUUGACCAUGAAUAAUAUAUAUCUAACUUUAUCUAAGUCUGUAGUACAUUCCAACUUCUAAAGCUUACAGUAUAACCAGUUAGUAGAUAAACACUAUGUUUUUCAUUAAAUUGGAUUUGAAUAGGAGAAAGUCCAUCAGGAUGAAAUUUUUAUAUUAUUGUUGUAAUUUUGUUAAAUCACAAAUCACCACAGGAAAAUAAGGAUAAUAAGCAAAUAACAGGAAAGACUGGGGAAAAACUGAAUAACAAGUAAAACAACAGGAAAGACUAGGUCACCUGGGGAAACAAUCCAUGUUCUCCAGCACAAACAUGGAAAUUGGUUUCCCCGGAAAGCCCCAAUUCUUCUCCAUCAACGUCAACAUGAGAGCCAUGUAAUCUGAGGCCUGCCCUCGGAUUGCACCGCAUAGGCAGGCCUCAGCCUGCCCUCGGUUUUUCACCGUACAGGCAGGCUUCUGUCCUGACCAGAAGCCCACCUUUGGCAUGCACCGUUCAGGUGAGCUCCCUUCCUUGGUUAGGAACCUGCCUUCAGGUUUUCCUGCCAUCAGGCAAGGUCCCUUCCUCGAGUCCCUGCAUCUCCUCGGCUCCCCACACUCCCCAGUGAUGGCAAGGCCAUCUGUGCACCACACCCUGAGUACUAAGGCCUUAGAGGGUCUUAGGGCCUUUUUCAAUGGGAAGAUGAAAAGUAUUGCCUAACCAUUUCCAAGGGUUUAUCCCAGAUUGUCUUCAUAUUUGGACUAUGUAGCCACUGAUACGGUAAGAUAUAAAUAAAUUGUCCAUUCUGAUCACUUUCCUGGCAAGUGGUCUCUGAGGUUCCUUACCUUGCUUCUUGUACCAAAGCGCUACCUACAGAACUUCCAGGUACAGCUACCAGAUUCCAGAUUGGGAAUGCAGAAAAAAGGAGAAUGGAUCUGGGAACCCAAAAAGGUUAAAGUAAAAGUAACUUUACGAAAAGAGUCUAUGCUUCUAUUAAAAUAAAGGAAACACUGCCCUCCAGUACAGAUUUUCUCUACCUAACUGCCCUAUGAUCAUGAUCCAUCCCAUAAAGACCAAUCCUCUAAACCCCUUGUUUCUACGGGAGACAUUUGAGUAUAUCUCCUAUAAUUGGUCUUUUCCCACAGGCAAGAUGAUUAAGCUGUACCCCCACAGCAUCUGGGCGUAGUCAUCUCAUAGUAUCAUCAUUAAUCUAUGGAAGAUAUUCUAUCUGAUAAAUGCACAUUGUUCUCUUUAGUGUGCUUACCUCCAUACUUUUAAAGGAUACACAUAUUCUUUAAUCUGUGGAUUUACUUAAGCCAUUUAUUGACUUGCUGUUACAAGGGAUUCAACACACUCCCCUUCAUCAUUGCUCUCCCACCUCCCAAUUCAGCUACACUACCAAUAUUUUAGCCAUUUUAUCAAUCAAUGUUACACCAUUUUGAUGUACAAAAUAAAACUACCAGCUCAGAACUUAAAAAAUAUGGUAAUUAUGUAUAAGAACUCCAAUGGGGAAGAAAGAAGAACACUCAUAGCCAGCAGCUGAGCAUUCCUGAGUUCAUAAGCUGGCAGCUUGCUUUCUUACAUGAGGACAACCUAAGACAAGCCCCCUCAACUCAAGCAUUGCCUCAUCAUCAGCAGGAUUGGAGAAGCCUCCAAUUAUUCAGGCAGGGGAAAAAAAGGAGACCUCAUAUUCCUCAACUUGGACCAUGUACAAUAAAUAAAGAGCUUCAAAAAAACUUCCAAGAAGUACUGAAAAUGUAUAUUGGAAUGAGGUUGCAGCAUUUGUCCAGUAAUACAUUUACAUGGGAAGGCACGAUGCCCAUCCAGAGAAGUGAAACAGUAAGGAUCUCUUUGAUCAUGGUUAUGUGAAGCUUUUUUUUUUUUUUCCCUCUAAUUACUGACAUACGGCACUCAUUCUGCAACAGGAGUCUUUUACAAAACAGAAUCUAGCCCUAGAGAAAUAUUUGAAAUAGUUACUAUUUAUUGCUCAUUUGCUAAAUCUGAUACACUAUCCUAAGUAUUACCUUUACUGUUUCACCCUUCACGCGAAGGAAAAAAAAUUUAAGUGAGGAAACUGAGAUCUGGAGCAGUUGCCAAGACCACAGCCGCUCUAACGCAGAGCAAGAAUUUAAAACCAGGCCCACAUGAGUGUUGUCUGCUGUCACUGGUGAGGCUGUGCUGUUUCAGAGGAAUGGGCAGUUUGCUAUUGCUGGCACCAUGCCCUGCUUUUCUAUUCUAUGUCAUCUCCCUCUCUUUUAUCAAAAUGUAUCCAAAUUAACAAUUAUAUAGUCCAUCACACCUCAAUAUAUAUCACCUCCCCAAUGAAAUAUUAACAUGUUAUUUUUUUCAUUAUGAAUGAAGUGGAUGGCUUUUCCCCCAUUUAAAGGUAUCUAAGGCCAUAGGAGACUAGAUAAACUGUUAUUCUUGUGAGCAUUUCUGAAAUCAUUCCACCUAUAGAUUAAUUCAGUCCUUGCACAGAGCUAAAUCCCUAAAUAGAAAUUACACUUGAUUGAAUAAUUUCCCCCAUUCUUAGAAGUUCCGUAUAAGCUUUCUAGCACAGGGCUGGCAUGAAAGAGACACAUGUUUUAGUUUUCCUGCUUUUUUGUAUUCUUACAUUAACUGCAAAUACAUCGCAUAUUGUCCUCAUAUAAUGACAUUGUUCAUUCACUUAACGUUUAUUGAAUACCUUCUAGACCCUGGAGAGUUUUCUAGACACUAGUUUUCUAGACAUAUUAGUGAAUAAGAUAGACAAUAAGCAAACAAAAAAAUAUGUCUAAUGAGGAUAAGUGGUAUGAAGAAAAGUGAUACAGAGAUUAUGGAGAGUUACAACUAUCAUAGAGCACAAGGACCAUUUUAUAUGACAUGAUGGAGACAAGCUCGUGGAUAAGAUGCAGACAGUGAGGGAGCCUCAUGGGUAUCUAACGGUGAAAGCAACCAGUACAAAGGCAUUGACACAGGACAGUGGUGGUCAGCAAGGGGCAGGAGGCUGGAGGAAAUGAGAGAGGUAGAUAGGAUGUGAUGAUGUCAUAGACUGGGGUAUGGUGUGGAGGCAGGGGUUCUGGUAGACCUUAGGGGACUUGGGGUUUUCAGUUUAAAAUGAAAGGCUAAUAGAGGAUUUGGGGCAGAGGAACAACAAAAUCUAAUGUCUGUUUUACAAGAUGAUUCUGUCGGUUGUGUUGGGAAUAGAUCAUACAGAAACAAGGACUGCAGGAGGGAGAGUAGUUAGGAUGCUUUUUCACAAGAGCCAGGUGAGAGAUGCUGAUGGCUCAGGCUGGAAUGGUGAUGGGGGAGGAUGUGUAAAGUUGCAGGAUCCUAGACAAGUUUUGAGUGCUUGCUAAAGGUUUGGAAGGAGAUUUGAAAGAAGGGAGUCAUAAAUGGACCUGGGUUUUGACAUGAGGAAAUGAAAGACAGUGUUUCUCUAUAAAGGGGAAAUGAGGAAUGAGCAGGUUUAGAGAUAUUAAAAUUGAGAUACUUUUAGACAUCUAAAUGUAGCACCUCAGACUCCAUGCUUUUCUGCCUCUGGACAAAGACUAUUUCAAAUCAACACAUAUCAUACAAAAUGUCAUAUUAGAGACAUUCUGGUUAACACCAGGAAUAAGAACAUCAAAUAGGCAGGUAAAUACAUGAAUAUGGUCAGGGCUGGAGGCAAAAUUUUAGGAGUCAUUAGUGCCUAGAUGGUAUUUAAGUCUGGGGAUUGGAUGAGACCCUCAAGGACAUGAGAGUAUCUAGGGAAAAGAGAAGAUUUGUGAAACUAGAGACUGAUACUUUCCAAUAUCCAGUUGUCAUGUCUUCUGGGAGCCUCUUACCACACAUGUCUAAUCAUGCCCAUGUUAACUAGGCAGAGCCAGAGCCAGGUAUAAGGCAGAAAUUGACCAUGGGGCCACCUUAAAGUUUCAAUUCUUUUUUUUUUUUUUUUUUUUUUUGGUCUUUUUGCCAUUUCUUGAGCUGUUCCUGCAGCAUAUGGAGAUUCCCAGGCUAGGGGUCUAAUCAAGCUGUAGCUGCCAAGCCUACUCCAGAGCCACAGCAAUGCAGGAUCCGAGCCGAGUCCGCGACCCACACCACAGCUCACGGCCGGAUCCUUAACCCACUGAGCAAGGUCAGGGAUUGAACUCGCAACCUCAUAGUUCCUAGUCAGAUUUGUUAACCACAGAGCCACGAAGGGAACUCCUUAAAGUUUCAAUUCUUAAAAAACUUUUAAAAAUAAAAAAAUAAAAAGAGUCAUACUGGUUUUCAGCUGAAUGGUGAAAAAGCAGUGGUAUAAGUUUAGGCAGCAGGGCUUUACAGCACCUGGAACUACUGAAAAGCCACACUUCAUUUCCAGCAGCCUAAAACCACAGAAACACAAAUGGUAUUAAUUUAUACAGACUCCAAAAUAAUAAUAUUAUUUGAAAAAUGUUGGAAUAGAAAAUACUGUGCUAAUUUAAUAUACUUCAGCAUGAAAACAGAGAUUGGGGGAAGAAAACACUGAAGUACUAUACUUGAACAGUUGAAUGUUUUUACACUAGCACACUGCUCUUGUUCCAAAUUAUUAGUGCAUAUUGAAUGUGUGUAAAAGGCAUUGAUAUAACAAAGCACAAAUUUUGGAAUCAAUGCUUAUUAUAGUAUCAAAAUUCAUAUAAAUGCUUAUGAAAUACUGUACAUAAUCCUCAUGAGAACCAUAUGAGGUGGAAACUAUUAUGACCCCCAUCCUAGAGGAAAGGAGAGUGAAGCACAGGCAGAAGAAACCUGGCUUGUUAUCACCUCUAGGAAGAUCAUAGCCUGGGUAUGAACCCAGCAAUGAGGCUGCAGAGACUUCACUUGUAGCAUGUGCAGUUCUGUCUCUCAACAAAGACUUUCAAUUUCAAACUAAACGUUGCUGUUAAAAAUAAUCUGAUUAUCAUUAGGACCAAAAGAAUUUACUGUUAUUGGAGGUCCCAUCGUGGUGCAGCAGAAACGAAUCUGACUAGGAACCAUGAAGUUGCAGGUUCAAUCCCUGGCCAUGCUCAGUGGGUUAAGGAUCUGGCGUUGACGUGAGCUGUGGUGUAGAUUGCAGACAUGGCUCAGAUCUGAUGUUGCUGUCGCUGUAGCAUAGGCCAGCAGCUAUAGCUCCGAUUAGGCUCCUAGCCUGGGAACCUCCAUAUGCCACGAGUGUGGCC
rnacentral:lncRNA from 1 species